UCCCUGAUGGCUCAGACAGUAAAGCAUCUGCCUACAAUGCAGGAGACCGGGUUCAAUUCCUGGGUUGGGAA
rnacentral:tRNA from 1 species